UACGGAGGGUCCAAGCGUUAUCCGGAAUCAUUGGGUUUAAAGGGUCCGUAGGCGGGCCUGUAAGUCAGUGGUGAAAUCUCCCGGCUCAACCGGGAAAUUGCCAUUGAUACUGCAGGUCUUGAAUUAUUGGGAAGUAACUAGAAUAUGUAGUGUAGCGGUGAAAUGCUUAGAGAUUACAUGGAAUACCAAUUGCGAAGGCAGGUUACUAUCAAUAUAUUGACGCUGAUGGACGAAAGCGUGGGUAGCGAACAGG
rnacentral:rRNA from 1 species